ensembl:lncRNA
GUCAGGCACUGUGGUUUCCUCAUAAUACACAUACAACUUAACGUUAGCGGUAAAACCUGAUAAUGGUUCCGAUUGUUUUGACCAUGUAAUUCUCGCUCAGACACGGUGAGUUCGCAAUAUAUUCGCCUCAAUUUUACUCUCCAUAUUCUAACUGGAAAUUAGCAACUGAGAAGACCUCAGCAAGACAACACAUUCCUGCAGGAAGCUCCUGAACCUCAUCUCUAGCACACUGUCAGCUACACUUCACCAGCGCGAUCUGUGCCCAAGCCAUGAAUAUGUCCCCUUUUUCUGUCUAGCUAGCCACUGACUACACUCUAGUUAGCAGAAUAUUUUAAAAAAUAAUUUUGUUUUACUUAGCCUCAAUAAUUGUUUGUACAGGAUGUUGACUUUGGUGUCUAUUUCAGACCUUAUGGCACAAGAGCAUUAAAAGGAGUAAGCCUGUCCUAUGGCUUGCACAGCCAACCCUCCCAUGAGUAAGUAUUUGCUCUGACAGGGGUAAGAUUAGGGCCACGAGCUGGAGAGCAUGGUGGGGUAGAUCCCUCACCUUCAGUUGGCUCAUGUUUAAAUUCUGUGCCCCUUGCCCUGGACUCUGAUACAGCUCAUCUAGGUGAGUGUAUGCUGUGUUCUGGUUUGCUACGCGCAGAUCCACCCGAUUGCGACAAUAGAGGGAGCCACCAACAUCCACCAGGUAAGAACGUGGUGCAACUCUGUAGGCACGUGCCCAGCUUCCAAAGUCCUGUGUGGUCUCCCGUCAGUGGUUUCAUCCUUAUCGUUUCACCCACCUCCAGCUCUGGUAGGUCUCGCACUGUCUGGUCGUAGAAGCACUUAGCGGGCUGCUUUCUGUGACGCAGUUGUCCUUGACGCCAACCAUGACC